rnacentral:rRNA from 1 species
UAGGGAAUCUUCGGCAAUGGACGGAAGUCUGACCGAGCAACGCCGCGUGAGUGAAGAAGGUUUUCGGAUCGUAAAGCUCUGUUGUAAGAGAAGAACGAGUGUGAGAGUGGAAAGUUCACACUGUGACGGUAUCUUACCAGAAAGGGACGGCUAACUACGUGCCAGCAGCCGCGGUAAUACGUAGGUCCCGAGCGUUGUCCGGAUUUAUUGGGCGUAAAGCGAGCGCAGGCGGUUAGAUAAGUCUGAAGUUAAAGGCUGUGGCUUAACCACAGUACGCUUUGGAAACUGUUUAACUUGAGUGCAAGAGGGGAGAGUGGAAUUCCAUGUGUAGCGGUGAAAUGCGUAGAUAUAUGGAGGAACACCGGUGGCGAAAGCGGCUCUCUGGCUUGUAACUGACGCUGAGGCUCGAAAGCGUGGGGAGCAAACAGGAUUAGAUACCCUGGUAGUCCACGCCGUAAACGAUGAGUGCUAGGUGUUAGACCCUUUCCGGGGUUUAGUGCCGUAGCUAACGCAUUAAGCACUCCGCCUGGGGAGUACGACCGCAAGGUUG